rnacentral:rRNA from 1 species
CCUAAGGUAGCGAAAUUCCUUGUCGGGUAAGUUCCGACCUGCACGAAUGGCGUAACGACUUCCCCACUGUCUCGACCAGGAGCUCGGCGAAAUUGCAGUACGAGUAAAGAUGCUCGUUAAGCGCAGAAGGACGAAAAGACCCCGGGACCUUUACUAUACCUUGGUAUUGGCAUUCGGUGUGGAUUGUGUAGCAUAGGCGGGAGGCUUCGAAGCGUUGGCGCCAGCCAGUGUGGAGCCGUAAGGUGAAAUACCGCUCUGUUCGCAUUGGAUGUCUAACCUCGACGAGUUAUCCUCGUCAGGGACAGUGCCUGGCGGGUAGUUUAACUGGGGCGGUUGCCUCCCAAAGAGUAACGGAGGCGCCCAAAGGUCCGCUCAGCCCGGUUGGCAAUCGGGUGGCGAGUGCAAGUGCACAAGCGGGCUUGACUGCGAGGACGACGGUCCGAGCAGGGACGAAAGUCGGGACUAGUGAUCCGGUGCCGGUGUACGGACGCGGCAUCGCUCAACGGAUAAAAGGUACCCCGGGGAUAACAGGCUGAUCAUUCCCAAGAGUCCAUAUCGACGGGAUGGUUUGGCACCUCGAUGUCGGCUCGUCGCAUCCUGGGGCUGGAGCAGGUCCCAAGGGUUCGGCUGUUCGCCGAUUAAAGCGGCACGCGAGCUGGGUUCAGAACGUCGUGAGACAGUUUGGUCUCUAUCCUCUGCGCUCGUUGGAAUGUUGAGGAGGCCUGCCCAUAGUACGAGAGGACCUGGGUGGACGAACCUCUGGUAUGCCGGUUGUCACGCCAGUGGCACGGCCGGUUGGCUACGUUCGGAAGGGAUAACCGCUGAAAGCAUCUAAGCGGGAAGCCUGCUCCAAGAUAAGCAUUCCGUGCAGCCUCGGGCUGCUGUAGUCCCCAUGCAGAACACGUGGUCGAUAGGCCGGACGUGGAAGCCCCGCGAGGGGUGGAGCCGACCGGUACUAACGGACGAAAGGCAACACUCA